rnacentral:rRNA from 1 species
GACGAACGCUGGCGGCGUGCUUAACACAUGCAAGUCGAACGAUGAAGCCUAGCUUGUGAGGUGGUUUCGUGGCGAACGGGUGAGUAAUACGUGAGUAACCUACCUUUAACUCUGGGAUAAGCCUGGGAAACUGGGUCUAAUACCGGAUACGAACAAUCUCCGCAUGGGGUGUUGGUGGGAAGCGUUAUGUAGUGGUUAUAGAUGUGCUCACGGCCUAUCAGCUUGUUGGUGAGGUAACGGCUCACCAAGUCGACGACGGGUAGCCGGCCUGGGAGGGUGACCGGCCACACUGGGACUGAGAGACGGCCCAGACUCCUACGGGAGGCAGCAGUGGGGAAUAUUGCACAAUGGGCGCAAGCCUGAUGCAGCGACGCCGCGUGAGGGAUGCCGGCCUUCGGGUUGUAAACCUCUGUUAGCAGAGAAGAAGAGAAAUUGACGGUACCUGCAGAGAAAGCGCCGGCUAACUACGUG